GCCAUGGGUAAGGGAUGAGACCCACAUCAACAUUGUGGUCAUUGGCCAUGUCAACGAGCAGGGAGCGGAAGACGCAGCCAGUGACCAGCGAGUGCAUGGGUGGCGCAAGUGGCAACGAAGAGUGGCCAGAGACUACUAGUGGUGAGCGGCGAUGGAGACCUCGAGACCAGCAAGUAGGCGAAAGCGAUCUCAUUGUGAAGUGGCUGAAUCGACUUAGGCGGUUUCUUCGAAAUUCUUGGAAAUGCUUUGGUUAGUGAGCAGCAUUAGGAGGAGGAGCUCAAGCAGGCCACCAUGAUGCACCACCGCAGUAGCAGAUGCCGGGCUUUCUUGCUUCUUCAUGAGCAUCAGGACAAAGAAGUCGGUGGAAGAGUAGUUCUAGCUCAUUGGAUCUAGUUCUGAGAGUAAUGAAGCCCUUUAUGCUGCUCCUAUUUGUAUGUGUGUUAUAUGAUGUAGCAGAAUCUGGCUCAUGUGAUUAUACACUUGUGGAGCUUGUUAUCUGAUUGUAAACUUGAUGCUAUCACAUUUGUAUGUGUGUUAUAUGAUGUAACACUUUGAUGGUUGAUAAUAUUUGAAAUA